ACAAUUUCCUUAUUUCUAUUUAAAAUAGAAACACAUUAGUAUACAGUGCUUACAUUUAUUAGACCCCCUGUCAUAAUAAAAAGAAAACACAGAUAUUCGACUGUCAAACACUUGUUUAAAACUAAAAUCUUGGUUUCUGUGAAGGCUUGACUUGACCUCAAAGACACCAUGUCAAGGACUUAGUUCAAAUAUAUCAACAUAAUAUCAAUAGUAUUAUUAUAUGAAAGGAGGUAAAGAGUUUUUUUUUUUUUUUUUUUCUUACUAAACUAAACUAAAGCAGUAGGGCGUGAUGGGCCAUCAACACCUGGCCAUGGGCUGCAGGAUGCUGAUUGGUUGUUUGAUCCGGGGCUGUUGGGUGCUGAGAUGCGAUUGGUUGUCUACCGCUUCAUCUGGACAUCAUUGUGAAAAGUUACCAACAGCUAUUUUUCAGUUUUAUCUGGAAAUCAGUCUAUUGCUUGUGACUGUGAAGACUUACAAGAGUUGUUUUCAGUAUCAUCUGGAGAAUUAUCUGUUCUUUGUGACCAGUAACAGCUUGUUUUGGAUAUUCAGCAUUUGAAAUGGCUUCUGAAAGGUAAGUACUUUCUAUCUAUUAUCUGACUACACCGCAUAGAAUGCUUUACUUAUUUAUUUAUUUUUUUUUUUUUCUUGUUUCCAGUCCAAGAAUCUAAAAAAAAUAUUAAACAAAGAAGCAUUUACUAGAUAAGUAAAAAGUAUUGUGUUGUUUUCUGAAGAAAAAAACAAUCAAAAUUAAGUGAGUUUUUGCUUGAAACAAGCUAAAUUAUCUGGACUGGAAACAAGAAGAAAAAAAAACUAAAGAAAAGCAUUUUUAAAGAAACACACACACACACACACACACUGUGUAGCUGUCUUGUUUUUAUUUGUUAAAAGAUCUUACUGUUAAACAAAAUUUGUGCAAAUUCAGUAAUGUCAUUUUGGGGAUAGUUGAGUCGGUGACACAAAGCUUUCAGGCCAGAGUGAAAAGAUACACAUUUGCACCUUGGCACUACAAUUUGUGUUUUAUUUUUAUAUUUUUGUGAUUGUUUUUGAAGAGUUGUGUCUGAUGUCUACAUGAUGCCUACUUGUUAUUUAGCACAUCUAUAUGCAUUAUUAAACCACUGUUGGUCUUCUUAUUGUUCGCACAGCUCUUUCCACAGCAGGAUCUACUUUCUCUGCUCUCACUGCAAGAAGGCUCCACGCUCCCUUCCUGGGCACCUCAGGACGGCGUGCAUGCGCGACCGCACAGAGGCAGAGAUACAGGCCACUGUGAUUGAAGCCAAGAAAGAGAUGUCUGAAUUUACCCACAAGGGACGUUUCUGGGAUUACCAGCGUAUUCGAGACAUCUUGGCAACUGCUGAUCCUCUUGCCAGGUGUGUAAAUUUUUGCUCCUUUGUCAUGUCCUGUUGCAGUGCAAUACUCAGUGUGUGUGUGUGUGUGUGUGUGUGUAUUCACUGUUAUGUAUUUUAUUUCCUUAGGUUGUUAGAGGAGAUGCAGAAGAAGGGCCUGGUUGUAAUGAACAUACCUCCAGUUCUCCCGGCCCCCCCGCUGCCUGCGCCCUCUCCAGCUACAUCUGCUCCUCAAAGCCCUGGAGAAGGUGCGGACGAGCCAGACGAGGAGCCAGACCGCGAGCCAUCGUCUGAGGAGAGCUCUGGAGAGUUCUAUCAGAGGUAAAGUUUCACAUCAUCAUUCUCAGAUAACAUGUGCAGCGAUUGGACAUGAUUUCUCUUGAACAUAUUCACAAUCAUUUGAGCACCUGGUUUAUUUUCUUUCAGCACUGAGGGACCGAGGUGGACCGAUGAAGUCAGGGUGGAGAUGUCAAAAAAGGGCCUGUACAAGAAACACUCCAUCGAUCACCCCCUCCUUCGGGGAUUUAAUCGAUAUUUGCGUGUUGACUUGGGCAACAAAAAGAGCAAACAAGAGGUAAGUGAAAGAAAAGAUACCUUUAAGUGUCACCCACACACUCACGCUUUCACACAGAAAAAUAAAGAAAUAAAUGUGAAGACAAAUGCUCUUCUGAACUGUGUGCUGCGGUCACAUGUUAACCUGUGUUAUAUUCAGCCCUGCAGAUUUUAAUGUGAAAUGUAUACUUACAGGUGGAAGAAGUCUCCAGGUUCAUGUAUUACGUGGACCCCAGUGAGCCGAACCUGAAUUUUGUGCGGGAGGUGGAGAAAGUGCGAGAGUACUUCAAUACACUGACCCAGACAAAGCUCUCGAAGCAGACGGUGCUGAACUACUGGAAGAGUCUCAAGAGGUCAGUACUGUGUAACGUAAACAUCUCAUCUGAAUUUCAACUAAUAUUUAUGGGAUGAUUAUUCGUCUUCUGACUGUAACAACCCUUCCUGUCUCUCUCUUCAAGGUUCAUGAGGUACAUUGUUACCAGCACCAGCAUCCGUGUCAAAGAUCCCAGCCUGUACAACGACUGCAAGAGCUUCACUGAUCCUCUGGAUGGCAUACGGGCUGGGAUGUCUAAGAAGGUCAACAAGGAGCAGACACAAAAAAGGUCAGUUUUUUUUUUUUUUUACUCUUUUUUUUUUUUUUUUUUAUCUAUUUAAUGGAAAGCACAGGUGAGUUCAAGUUCAACAUUACUAUUUUUUUUUUUUCCCUCAGGUUCCGCGGCUACGGCAAGGAAAAAUUUCCGGCUGACUGCAUCACAAUCUUGGAUGCUGCUUAUACGGAUUUCCUGGCUGUCAUGGGCAAACUUCAGGGUCCAGGAGCCAUUUCAGGGGAGGAACUCAGCAAAAACGAACGUCUGCUUGUCCUCUAUUAUCUUGAGGCCAUAAUUAUGCUUAAACUUCUACAACGCCCAGGGGUUGUUACGAAUAUGACCGUAAGUGUAUUUUAGUAACAACAGCAUCUUUUAUUUUCCUUUACCCAUAUGCCUCCUGAUCUUGUGCUUCACAGAUGCGUGUACCUUUUGAGUGUUUGUGACGCCUGUCAUUGAAAGCACACAACUGUCUGUUUUCAGGUUGAGGAAUGGAAGGGGAGAACCCGGCAUCCAAACGGAGCUUCCGUGGCGGUGAAGGAGCAUAAAACGGCCGCGUCGCAAAUAGCAGAAGUACCGCUGACUGAUGACCAAGAACAUUGGUUUGGCCUGUACUUCGAUGAGAUUCGGCCGGUGAUGUUACAAGGUAAUAAGUCAGUGGACAAUGCAGCAGCAGAGCAGAGUUUUUUUGUUUCAAGUACUGGAAGGCCAAUUUAUAACCCCUGCAACGACUUGAAAAGAUUCCAUGCCAAAUACAACAUUCCCAGGGUGACCAGCAGCGACGCUCGGACAGCCUUUGAGACGGCUGCUAAAAAUCUGCCGGAGGUGCAGAGGAAUGCGGUGGCACGUCUCUUGGGACACACGCCGGAAACAGCAGAGAAGCAUUACCGGAUGAAAACUCCGGCAGAUGCAUUCCUGGCCAAGGUUGUGGUCGAUGAGCUCACUGCAAAAACACGAGGUGCGUCUAGUGGGGCUUCUGGCCAAGAGAAAAGGAUGGAUGAACAGACGGCGUUUGACUUGCUGGUUCAGUCCUGCCCAGUGACUCUUGACGGGCCUCCUCCGAAAAGGGCACGCAGACACGAACUGUGCGCUGAACACGAGAGGCACUGCUACGACCGCUGGCGCAGCGAGCAGCUCAAGCUGCGUGAACAGCGUGUCCUUGAAUAUUUCGGUCGGUGUCAGCUGUCUGAGUCACAAGUGGAGGCCUGGGUGGAGAAACAAGGAUGGACGUCUAACGUCCCACAGGCUUCCCUAAUACUCAAGAAAUACUCCAAGUAGCCUUGAACAGCUCCCCUGCGGCUCUGUGGGUUACAAAAAUAAAUGUGAGCGGGCUACUUCCAAGCCACAUUAUUUUUGUGCCUACUUUUCAGCCACAAAACACCACCUCUCUUGCUCUCCAAGUUGCCCUGAAUGACUCUGUCUCUUUUUUUAGUACUUUACUCAAAGAUAUGUGAGCGGGCUAAUUUCCAAGCCACAUAUCUCUUCUCUUUGUCUACUUUUUUGUUUUCAGCCACAAAACACCACCUCUCUUGCUCUCCAAGUUGCCCUGAAUGACUCUGUCUCUUUUUUUAGUACUUUACUCAAAGAUAUGUGAGCGGGCUAAUUUCCAAGCCACAUAUCUCUUCUCUUUGUCUACUUUUUUGUUUUCAGCCACAAAACACCACCUCUCUUGCUCUCCAAGUUGCCCUGAAUGACUCUGUCUCUUUUUUUAGUACUUUACUCAAAGAUAUGUGAGCGGGCUAAUUUCCAAGCCACAUAUCUCUUCUCUUUGUCUACUUUUUUGUUUUCAGCCACAAAACACCACCUCUCUUGCUCUCCAAGUUGCCCUGAAUGACUCUGUCUCUUUUUUUAGUACUUUACUCAAAGAUAUGUGAGCGGGCUAAUUUCCAAGCCACAUAUCUCUUCUCUUUGUCUACUUUUUUGUUUUCAGCCACAAAACACCACCUCUCUUGCUCUCCAAGUUGCCCUGAAUGACUCUGUCUCUUUUUUUAGUACUUUACUCAAAGAUAUGUGAGCGGGCUAAUUUCCAAGCCACAUAUCUCUUCUCUUUGUCUACUUUUUUGUUUUCAGCCACAAAACACCACCUCUCUUGCUCUCCAAGUUGCCCUGAAUGACUCUGUCUCUUUUUUUAGUACUUUACUCAAAGAUAUGUGAGCGGGCUAAUUUCCAAGCCACAUAUCUCUUCUCUUUGUCUACUUUUUUGUUUUCAGCCACAAAACACCACCUCUCUUGCUCUCCAAGUUGCCCUGAAUGACUCUGUCUCUUUUUUUAGUACUUUACUCAAAGAUAUGUGAGCGGGCUAAUUUCCAAGCCACAUAUCUCUUCUCUUUGUCUACUUUUUUGUUUUCAGCCACAAAACACCACCUCUCUUGCUCUCCAAGUUGCCCUGAAUGACUCUGUCUCUUUUUUUAGUACUUUACUCAAAGAUAUGUGAGCGGGCUAAUUUCCAAGCCACAUAUCUCUUCUCCUUGCCUACUUUUUUGUUUUCAGCCACAAAAAAGUAAAAAAAGACCACCAAUACAGAUUUUUUUUUCUUUCAAUAUUCAUAGGCAACUGGAAGUGCACCAGGUAAUGAUACAAAACCUUUAUGCACACUCUCACACACUCACAAACUCACAAAUGCUCCACUAAUCAUUCAAUUCAUUAAGUUGAACUACUGUGAUUUUUUUCUUCAUUGCAGCUACAAAUAACCAAACAUCAGCAGCUCACUCGAGGACCACUACAUGAGGACUCCAGAGAAGAAGAAGAAGAAGACGAAGACGAAGAAGAAGGAGGAGGAGGAUUUGACAGAGGAAGGCGCACGCUGGAUCCAUACGCUGCAUCUCAUUUCGGAGACUGCGUCCUACGGAGGUCGCAUUUGAAGGCUGCAUACGUCAUCAAGGAUGUCUUAUUUAAGAAAAGUAAACGUAAUUAAACAAACUGUUAUUCCUCGUGAGACGUAAAAUACUAUAAUUUCUUUCUUACUUUGCAAUCUAACAGUUAAUUUUUUUUCAAAUGAGACCGCCUCGAUGACAUAUGCAGCCUUCAAAAGUGACCUUCGGAGGACACAGCCUUCAAAACAAGACAGCUAUAAUCAUUAUAUUCUUAUUCUGUACAUACAGAUGCUAUUAUAAUUUUUUGUUCAUGUUUUCAAUCUACGUUUGUCAUUUCUUCUUUUGUUGUUAAUGAUCUGUAUUUGUCAUUAUUCAAGUCUUAUUUGUUGCACUUUAUUAAUCGUGUACCUGUCAUAGGUAUUCAUGUUUAUAUCAGGCAACCAAAAGUUGCAGAGGUCAGAGUGUCAAAAUGCUCAAAGACAAACUAAUUUUGUUAAAACUCUAAUAGAAAGUUGACAUUUUUAUACUUGUAUUGAUUUUUCAUGUU